UACGUAGGGUGCGAGCGUUAAUCGGAUUUACUGGGCGUAAAGCGUGCGCAGGCGGCCCGUUAAGACAGGUGUGAAAUCCCUGGGCUCAACCUAGGAAUUGCGCUUGUGACUGGCGUGCUCGAGUACGGUAGAGGGGGGUGGAAUUCCUGGUGUAGCAGUGAAAUGCGUAGAGAUCAGGAGGAACACCGAUGGCGAAGGCAGCCCCCUGGGCCUGUACUGACGCUCAUGCACGAAAGCGUGGGGAGCAAACAGG
rnacentral:rRNA from 1 species